ACCCUACGGGACGCAGCAGUGGGGAAUAUUGCACAAUGGGGGAAACCCUGAUGCAGCGACGCCGCGUGAGUGAAGAAGUAUUUCGGUAUGUAAAGCUCUGUCAGCAGGGAAGAAAAUGACGGUACCUGACCAAGAAGCCCCGGCUAACUACGUGCCAGCAGCCGCGGUAAUACGUAGGGGGCAAGCGUUAUCCGGAUUUACUGGGUGUAAAGGGAGCGUAGACGGCAGGGCAAGUCUGGAGUGAAAGGCGGGGGCCCAACCGUGGGACUGCUCUGGAAACUGUGCGGCUUGAGUGCGGGAGGGGG
rnacentral:rRNA from 1 species